AUCGCUUUGCCGUAAAUUUUCGGUGAAAAAACACCGAAAACUGUAAAUUAGUGUUGCUGUCAACACAAACGUCAAGUUUCGAGCGCACAUUUUUUGCAGCUUUGAGCGCAACCGUCUCUUUUUGAUAACCGCGAUGUAUUAGUGGCGUCCCGCUUGCGCAAAAUCAAUUUGAAACGUUUUUAAUUUUUGCAUAUGCGCAGGGGGUGCUUUCAAUCGAGCAGUAAAGUUUCGGUAUCACGUGUUUGUAGAUGAUGUUGGGGGUCAAAAUGUUCAACCGCUGCGUGUUGAAGUUAAUUAAGACCAUUAAUUGUGAUUGAAAAAAGUGAAUCUAAUGUGUCAAACAUCUUUCGGUGACUGUUUAAAACCACAUUCCACCAGUUAUUUAAAAAAAAAACCUCAAAACCACAACGGUAAAAGAGCACCAGGCUCUGUAAUUUGACUUGAAUUCCUCAGGUUCAACAGGCAAGUUCAGUACGGUAAAGUAAUCUGAGGUUUUCGCCUACUUUUUAAAUUUAAGACCAAAUAACCCGCCUGACACUGAUGCUGAUAAUAAGUGUUUUGCGUUUCCGAAAUUUAGGUUGUUUUGGAUUCAUUUCGAGGACGGCUGUUCCAUUAAUCUUAACUGUAGGCAGAUAAACAACCAAAUUGAAACGAUGGAAUUGGAUUAACAACCGACCGAACAGUUUGGAAGUGCAGGAAACAAAUUUGAAUUCAUCCGUGGCCUUCAUGGAAAAUACUACUUAAUACCUCAAAAAACCUUCCAAUGGAGCUCUUUCGUUUAUUUGCAGGUAAUUUUUGUAUGACUUUUCUGUGUCGUAAAUUUAUUAAAAUAAUUCAUUCUUACAGGAACCGGAACAUUCUGCUUACCAGCUUGGUUAAAGUUGGCUGAAUACCAGUUGGUGCCAUUAUCGAUGACGGAUCUAUGGUUGGAGCUGAUGCCAAUGCUGUUAUCAAAGUUAUCAUCGCAGUUAUACGAAAGCUAUUCGCGCUUCUAAACCUUGUUAUUAUCUGAUGGAUGUAAAGAAUUCGAUCAUCGAUGUGUAUGCUGAUAGGAUUUGCUCAGCGCUUGUUAAUGAGAAAAACUAUGCUCCUGCUACAAAGUCAAUUCCUUGUGGCCCUCAGUUUUCAGUUUCAGGAAACACAAUGAAAAGAUAUUUAAACAAGAAUGGAAAUAGAGAUACAAGGAAAUUAUUUUUGCUCAAAUAAUUUAAGGAAAGGUUUGUUUUAAGAAUUAAAUCUUAGAGUUUUAUCAUUUCUUGUACGUUAUAAUUCUAAUUAAAAA